rnacentral:tRNA from 2 species
GAUUUUAAAAUUAAUUGUUUUGAAAACAGUUAUGAAGAUAAAUUCUUUGAAGUCU